rnacentral:lncRNA from 1 species
GCCAUAAUUUUCAUACUGAAAUUCACAACCACUCUUUUACACAAGCACCUCAUAAUAUAUAAUGUAAUACUAUUCACAGGGGUCUGAUCUAACACUUCUCCACAUAUAAUCAAGGUCUAACAAACAAGAUGGGAUCUUAGUCCUCAUCCGGGUCGUACUUAGGAUCCUCCUCGUGGUCAUCUUCUUCUCCAAAAUGUUCCUCCUCAUUUGGUUCCACAUCAGGGUUCUCCUCUUCAGGUUCCUUCUCCUCAGGCUCCUCAUCAGAGUCCUGAAAUGGUUAUCAAUAACCAUUGAGACCACGUCUCAGCAAGUUCUACCCCCUAAGACUCGAUUAGUAAACUAAUACGCUAACCGGGCUACCUAUACACAUACGAGUCAGAGGACUUACUUUGGCCUCAGAUUCCACCUGCAUAUUAGCACAGUUCAGUAGACACCCAAGUAAUCACAUUACUGAUCGAAGCAUCGAUCAAAUCGACCUAGUCGAUUAUAUGUCAAUCAGACCAUCUCAUGGUCAUUUCUAAUCAAUCAGUCAAUUCAUAAUAUCAGAUCAAAGUAAUGAUCAAUCGAUCUAGUCGAUUACAUGUCAUCACGACCCAUGCUUGGUCGGCACAUUCAAUACUAUCUAUAAGUCCGACCAUAGUCCAAGACUGCUCACUCUAAGCUGAUAUAUAGAUAGUAUAGCUCGCACUAAGCUGAUAGGGUUAAGGUAUACUGCUCUCGCUAAGCUGACAUAUCGCCCGUAGGCUGAUAUAGUAUACCGGUAUACUGCUCGCUCUAAGCUGACAUAUCGCCCGCAGGCUAAUAUAGUAUACCCCCUAUGCUCACACCAAGCUGAUAAAGUGUACUGCUCGCGCUAAGCUGACAUAUCGCCCGUAGGCUGAUAUAGUACACCAGUAUACUGCUCUCGCUAAGCUGACAUAUCAGAGCCCGUAGGAUGAUAUAGUAUACUAUCCGACCAUUCAAUCCAUUCCAUCUAUUAUCCUUCUCGAUAAAAUAGCCGUGUGUGGGGACACGGUCGGCCUUAGCCAAAAUAUAAUAUUUUCCAUUCCAUAACUCCCACAUUUUCUGUAGUCCACCAAAACACUUUUAGUGCUGUCAACCGACACCCGGUUAUUUUCCAAUUAUUAAUCAAAGAUUAUUCCAUUAAAGAAUAAUUCCCAAUUUCACAAAUAAUUCAAUUCAGCACAAAAUAAAGCUCAAUUAAAUAAAUGAACUGCGCACCGACAAUCAGCACCAAAUUUUGGUCAGUGGCCAUCCCAGUUGAAUUUCCCGGAAAUAAAUAAUUAAAUACUUAAUUUCGGAAAAUAAAUAAAUAUAUACAGUAAAUUCAAUUUAGCACAAUAUAAAGCUCAAUUAAAUAAAGGGACUGCACCACGAUCAUCAGCAUAAAAUUCCGGUCGUCGGCUAUCCCUGCCUAAUUUCCGAAAAAUAAAUAAUUUAUUAAAUUAAUUUCGAAAAUUAAUAAUUAAAUACUAAAAAUCCAAUUUAGGCCCAUAAUGCCUGAUUGGACGCUAGAACGAAUCGGGAAAAAUCCCGAGAUGCAUUCGAUAAUUAUUAGCAGCUCUCUAUUUGCUUAUGACUAAGUCUAACCACCUAACAUGCAUCAUUGAGUCUCUAAUUUAAUUAUUCUAAAUUAAUCUAACCACCUAAGUGCAUGUAAUUAAAUCUAACCAACCCUGAAGCAUAAUUAGCAAACUAAGAAAGCAUUAGUGAGAAAACUCACUUGAUUAAAAGCGGGGACCGGGACACCGCAAUGGCGACGCGACGGCGCGACGACGGCCGAAAUCCGAAUUUCCGGCGACGUCAACAAUCACUCGGGCCGGGCCAAGAAACUUUGCAAGCCCACAGAAAUAUCUGGGUUCAGACUGAACUUGGGCCAAAGAUGGGCUGAAUUGCGGCUGAAAUUCACUGACCCAUGGGCUGAGCUGCUAAAAUGGGCUGAUGAAAAUCACUGGGCUGCUGACUUACUUUGAAGAAGUUGGGCCGACCUGGAAGUUUGGGCUGCUGCAACUGAAGCCCACGACUUCAAAUGGUUGAAGCUCGCUGCAGAAAUUACGGAGGUGCUGGACUUCGGCUUCGCCGACGUGUGGAUGACGCUGCUGGGAAGAAAAACCGAAGCUGCGAAGCUGAGAGCGACGUGGACUGAAGACGCACGCAUGGAGAUGAAGACACGAACGAUGGGAGCAGGCGGCGUUCAUUCGGUUUGAUGUAGCUGGAAUGGAUUCACGAGCUGAGUUGGGCCGUGAGAUUCGCUGGACUGUCUUCGGUGGAUACGGACGAGCGGGCAACAGCUUCAGUUGACUGAGAAGAUGCGUGGACCAGCGAGCUGGCGAAGGAAGCAACAGCUUCGUGCGGCUGUUCGGUGGAGACGCGCGGCAAGAGUCAUUUGCAGAAGCAACCAGCAGCUUCGGUGGACCUCGACGCCGUGGCAGCUACAGAAAUUUUCAGUAGUUUGUUGAUUCGGCGACCGAAUGGGAAGAAGCUG